UACGGAGGGUGCGAGCGUUGUCCGGAAUCACUGGGCGUAAAGGGCGCGUAGGCGGCGCGGGAAGUCGGCGGUGAAAGCUCGGGGCUCAACCCCGAGUCGGCCGUCGAUACUCUCGGGCUCGAGCACUGUAGAGGCAGAUGGAAUUCCGGGUGUAGCGGUGGAAUGCGUAGAGAUCCGGAAGAACACCGGUGGCGAAGGCGGUCUGCUGGGCAGUGGCUGACGCUGAGGCGCGACAGCGUGGGGAGCAAACAGG
rnacentral:rRNA from 1 species